UAAUACAGAGGGUGCAAGCGUUAAUCGGAAUUACUGGGCGUAAAGGGCGCGUAGGCGGAUGAAUAAGUUAGGUGUGAAAUCCCUGGGCUUAACCUGGGCAUGGCACUUAAUACUGUUUAUCUAGAGUAGAGUAGAGGGAAGUGGAAUUUCCGGUGUAGCGGUGAAAUGCGUAGAGAUCGGAAAGAACACCAGUGGCGAAGGCGGCUUCCUGGACUCAUACUGACGCUGAGGCGCGAAAGCGUGGGGAGCAAACAGG
rnacentral:rRNA from 1 species